CAGUCCACGCCGUAAACGAUGGAUACUAGUUGUUGGAUUUUCGGAUUCAGUGACUAAGCGAAAGUGAUAAGUAUCCCACCUGGGGAGUACGGUCGCAAGAUUGAAACUCAAAGGAAUUGACGGGGGCCCGCACAAGCGGUGGAGCAUGUGGUUUAAUUCGAUGAUACGCGAGGAACCUUACCAGGGCUUAAAUGUAGAGUGACAGGAGUAGAGAUACUUUUUUCUUCGGACACUUUACAAGGUGCUGCAUGGUUGUCGUCAGCUCGUGCCGUGAGGUGUCAGGUUAAGUCCUAUAACGAGCGCAACCCCUGUUGUUAGUUGCCAGCGAGUCAUGUCGGGAACUCUAGCAAGACUGCCGGUGCAAACCGCGAGGAAGGUGGGGAUGACGUCAAAUCAUCACGGGCCCUUACGUCCUGGGGCCACACACGUGCUACAACGGCCGGUACAGAGAGCAGCCACUAGGUGACUAGGAGCGAAUCUAUAAACUAUAUCUCAGUUCGGAUCGGAGU
rnacentral:rRNA from 1 species